UUAAAGUAGUAAGGGCGCAGGGUGGAUGCCUUGGCACUAAGAGCCGAUGAAAGACGUGAUAAGCUGCGAAAAGCUUCGGGGAGGAGCACAUAUCCAAUGAUCCGGAGAUAUCUGAAUGGGGAAACCCGGCAGAGGAAACCUCUGUCAGCGUGCAGUGAAUACAUAGCUGUACGUGGGGAACCCGGGGAACUGAAACAUCUAAGUACCCGGAGGAAGAGAAAGAAAAUUUAUCGAUUUCCAAAGUAGCGGCGAGCGAAAUGGAAAGAGCCCAAACCGUGAUGCGUGCAUCGCGGGGUUCGGACUGCGUUGUGGCAGACGUAAGAUAGGAGAACGGACUGGGAAGUCCGGCCGGAGAGAGUGAAAGCCUCGUAUCCGAAAUCCCAAGUCGCCUAGCAGGAUCCAGAGUAGGACGAGACACGAGAAACCUUGUCUGAACGAGCGGGGACCACCCCGUAAGGCUAAAUACUUCUUAGUGACCGAUAGCGCAUAGUACUGUGAAGGAAAGGUGAAAAGUACCCCGGGAGGGGAGUGAAAGAGAACCUGAAACCCUGUGUCUACAAGCUGUGGGACCUCUUUAUAUGAGGGACUGCGUACUUUUUGUAGAACGGUCCGGCGAGUUGUGCGUACUGGCGAGGUUAAGGACUUAAGGUCUGGAGCCGAAGUGAAAGCAAGCGUUAAUAGCGCGUCAAGUCAGUGAGUGCAGACCCGAAACCGGGUGACCUAUCCAUGUCCAGGUUGAAGCUUCCGUAAGAGGAAGUGGAGGACCGAACCCACAUCCGUUGAAAAGGGUGGGGAUGAGGUGUGGAUAGCGGAGAAAUUCCAAUCGAACCCGGAGAUAGCUGGUUCUCCUCGAAAUAGCUUUAGGGCUAGCCUCGUUUUAGUCUGGUGGAGGUAGAGCACUGAAUUCCCAAGGGGGCGUCAAAGCUUACUAAGGGAUAUCAAACUCCGAAUGCCAUACAGAUGAUGAACGGGAGUCAGACUAUACGAGAUAAGUUGGAUAGUCAAAAGGGAAAGAGCCCAGACCUGCAGCUAAGGUCCCAAAGUGCAUGUUAAGUGGAAAAGGAUGUGGGAUCUCUAAGACAACUAGGAUGUUGGCUCAGAAGCAGCCAUUCAUUCAAAGAGUGCGUAACAGCUCACUAGUCGAGAGGUCCUGCGCCGAAAAUGUCCGGGGCUAAAACAUGCCACCGAAGCUCAGGAAUGACAUAGUCAUUGGUAGAGGAGCAUUCUUAACGCGAAGAAGCAGUACCGUAAGGAGCUGUGGAGUGCUAAGAAGAGAGAAUGCCGGAAUGAGUAGCGAGAACAAGGUGAGAAUCCUUGUGGCCGAAUAUCCAAGGUCUCCAGGGUAAAGCUGAUCUGCCCUGGGAAAGUCGGGACCUAAGGUCAGGCUGAAAAGCGUAGCCGAUGGACAACAGGUUGAUAUUCCUGUACCGCAUGGUAACAGAACUGUGGGGACACGGGAGGGAAACAUGGGCCGGAAAUGGAAAGUCCGGUACAAGCGAGGUAGUCGCACAGCAGGCAAAUCCGCUGUGCAUAAGACGAAGCCGUGAUGUGGAGCGAAAUGAAGUAGCGAAGCAUGUGCCCCCUCCUGUCGAGAAAAGCCGCUAUUGUUUGCCAUGCGCCCGUACCGUAAACCGACACAGGUGGAUGAGGAGAGAAUCCUAAGGCCGGCGGGAGAAGCAUUGUCAAGGAACUCGGCAAAAUGACCCCGUAACUUCGGGAGAAGGGGUGCCCACGCAAGUGGGCCGCAGAGAAUAGGCUCAAGCAACUGUUUAGCAAAAACACAGGUCUAUGCGAAACCGUAAGGUGAUGUAUAUGGGCUGACGCCUGCCCGGUGCUGGAAGGUUAAGAGGAGAGGUUAGCGCAAGCGAAGCUUUGAAUCCAAGCCCCAGUAAACGGCGGCCGUAACUAUAACGGUCCUAAGGUAGCGAAAUUCCUUGUCGGGUAAGUUCCGACCCGC
rnacentral:rRNA from 1 species